AGUUUCCCAAAUAUGCUUACUUUGCUGGUAACCAGGCAGGAUCACCUGAUGUUCACAGAUCUCAUAAUUUGAAAGAUGAAAUACAAGGGCAGGAGGAGGAGGAAGAGGAAGUUGAACACAGCUGAGCUCAUCUUCCCAAACAAGACACUGUGGGCUACAGCCGAGAAGUUACAACAGAGUGGAACUUAUGGAAGUUGGCGAAGCAUAUAGAAAUUCACAACACCAUAUACUCUAUGUGACUAUUUAACACAAAUAUUAAAGGCAAUAUUUUCUGAA